GGACAGGUGGCGGAGUGGUCGAUCGCACCGGUCUCGAAAACCGGAGUAGGUGCAAGCCUACCGUGGGUUCGAAUCCCACCCUGUCCGCCA
rnacentral:tRNA from 1 species